rnacentral:rRNA from 1 species
CACGCAAGUCGAACGAAGUAGCAAUACUUAGUGGCAGACGGGUGAGUAACAUGUAGGUAUCUUCCCUUUGGCCUGGAAUAACACGAGGAAACUUGUGCUAAUACUAGAUAAGUCUUUACGGAGAAAGCUUUAUGCACCAUUGGAUGAGCCUGCACUUGAUUAGUUUGUUGGUGGGGUAAUGGCCUACCAAGACUGUGAUCAAUAGCUGAUUUGAGAGGAUGAUCAGCCACAUUGGGACUGAGACACGGCCCAAACUCCUACGGGAGGCAGCAGUGGGGAAUCUUGCACAAUGGAGGAAACUCUGAUGCAGCGAUGCCGCGUGAGUGAAGAAGGCCCUUGGGUUGUAAAGCUCUUUCGUCGGGGAAGAAAAUGACUGUACCCGGAUAAGAAGGUCCGGCUAACUUCGUGCCAGCAGCCGCGGUAGUACGAAGGGACCUAGCGUAGUUCGGAAUUACUGGGCUUAAAGAGUUCGUAGGUGGUUGAAAAAGUUGGUGGUGAAAUCCCAGAGCUUAACUCUGGAACUGCCAUCAAAACUUUUCAGCUAGAGUUUGAUAGAGGAAAGCAGAAUUUCUAGUGUAGAGGUGAAAUUCGUAGAUAUUAGAAAGAAUACCAAUUGCGAAGGCAGCUUUCUGGAUCAUUACUGACACUGAGGAACGAAAGCAUGGGUAGCGAAGAGGAUUAGAUACCCUCGUAGUCCAUGCCGUAAACGAUGUGUGUUAGACGUUGGAAAUUUAUUUUCAGUGUCGCAGCGAAAGCGAUAAACACACCGCCUGGGGAGUACGACCGCAAGGUUAAAACUCAAAUGAAUUGACGGGGACCCGCACAAGUA